UGUAUGAUCAUUAUAUGAGUGAACCUGCAGUUAAGAUCAUUGAUUGCUAUUGGCUUCCAUUUUCAUUGUUGACUAGUAGCAUCUAUUAUAAUCAUCUAACAUGAUGAGUUCCCUUCAUUGGACUUCCGUCGAUCAUUUUAUAAAUAUUUUAUAACUUUUCAUAUAGUAAUUGUAAUACAGUUUUGUAGAGAGUUUUGUGCAUUAGGAUGCAUUCAUCGACAAGAAUAUCAUGUUCUGUAGCCCUCCCAAUAAAAACAUAUUUUGUAUUUAAAAUCUUUUAAAAAAAUUUCAAAGUAUGUAAGGAUUCCAUUUUUUGUGAAAAUUUUCUCAAUAUGCAUCUAGGAUUGGAUAUUUGUGGAGACAUGAAGAUGUAGUUAUGGUCUUUGGUGUUGGUCAUUGACUUUGAAUUUGGUGGUUAGGAUAGGCUGAGUAAAGCAACUUUUUGUUAGUGGCCAAACAAUGGAGGCCCAAGGGAUGGUGUUACAGAUCAUCAUACAAAUGUGUUGUGUGUAUGGUAGAUGAUAUGGAGACACAAAAAGAAAAUGUCAUGACUCUGGAGGCAGUACUGGAUGAAGUACCUAUAAACAACUACAUUAUACACUCUAACUCCCUUGUCUUCUUGAGGCAUCACAAGAAUCUUAUAAUUUUGGUUGUUUCUUAUACCCAUCUAACAGAUUGGAUUUGUAACAACUACCACAUUUAUCAAAAUCUAUCCUUUGAAGCUUAUUUCGUCUUUCUUUUCUGAUGGAUGAAAAAUCUACAAGUCCCUGAGGUCAUGGUACAUGUGGCCCUGAUGGAUGAAACAUAUCUAUCACACUUACAGUUUAUAUCUCAAUAUUUACUCUUGGGUGGGUAGCCUACGUUUCAUUUUACAUACAUUAUGAAGUUCCAAUCAAAGUGUUGUAUUAGCAGAUAGUGCUUUCUUUAUUAUUAUUAUUAUUAAUUUUUUAUAAAUUUAUAUCUGUGUUCCUAAUUUGUGUUCUUAAUUUAUAUCUUUGUGAUUCCGCAAUUGUUCGCUUAUGCGGUGAACUUCCCAUUACUCAACUGGCUUUUGGACUGAGUUGUCCUGUAGAAUUGGAAUGUACUAGAUUUGGACAUCAACUCAGUUGACUUGCCCUUGAUUAAUUGUAUAUAGACACUUUAAUCACUUAUUAAUAAUAUAAAUAUUAUUAGACUAUUUAUUAGAUAUCGAGAUGAGUCAAGUAAAGACUUGUCGGAGUCUUCAAGUCGACUCACCCUGGCUGGACAUUGAGUCGAGUCCAUACUUUGAGCUUUUGAACUAUGAUCUGGAUCCAACCCAUUGGGAGACUCGUUUUACAAUAUCUGUGUUAAUAUCUUUUUGCUAAGACAUUGUCAGUUUGGUUACAGCUUGGAGUUCUAGUACUAUACUACAGUGAUCCUUUUAGUGGGUUCAUUGAAAAAUAAGCCAGAAAUAGUUGUUGAUGUCGUCUCUAUCUGUAUGAACUUGGAGCUGUGGACACUGAUGGUUGCAAUCGGUUUCAAUGCGGCUGUCAGCGUACGUGUCUUGAAUGAACUAGGGGCUGGCUGUCCAAAAGCAGCACAGUUUCAGUAGUGGUGGCUGUUUAUAUGUUGGCAUUGUUUAGAAUUCUCUUCACAGCUGCAGUUCUCAUCACCAGGAGCCACUUCCAAAAGUUGUUCACUACUAAACCAG